rnacentral:rRNA from 2 species
GCCCUGCACUUUGGGAUAAGCCUGGGAAACUGGGUCUAAUACCGAAUAUGACCAUGCACUUCCUGGUGUGUGGUGGAAAGCUUUUGCGGUGUGGGAUGGGCCCGCGGCCUAUCAGCUUGUUGGUGGGGUAAUGGCCUACCAAGGCGACGACGGGUAGCCGGCCUGAGAGGGUGACCGGCCACACUGGGACUGAGAUACGGCCCAGACUCCUACGGGAGGCAGCAGUGGGGAAUAUUGCACAAUGGGCGCAAGCCUGAUGCAGCGACGCCGCGUGAGGGAUGACGGCCUUCGGGUUGUAAACCUCUUUCAGCACAGACGAAGCGCAAGUGACGGUAUGUGCAGAAGAAGGACCGGCCAACUACGUGCCAGCAGCCGCGGUAAUACGUAGGGUCCGAGCGUUGUCCGGAAUUACUGGGCGUAAAGAGCUCGUAGGUGGUUUGUCGCGUUGUUCGUGAAAACUCACAGCUUAACUGUGGGCGUGCGGGCGAUACGGGCAGACUUGAGUACUGCAGGGGAGACUGGAAUUCCUGGUGUAGCGGUGGAAUGCGCAGA